AAAGUUCUUUGAUACGAAGGUGGCUGUAGGUCAGGCUUGGCCAACCGGCGAAGGGGUUAAGCUGCAUAGUUGCCCUUUACCUGAUGGAUAUGCAAAGGUUACUAUUGAUUCUCUUGCUAAGAGGAAAUACAGAAAUGUGGAGUUGGAAAUCCCCGUUGAUGACAGCAAGUUGCUAGGGGAUAACAUUUGAGGCUUUGUGGCAUGGCGGAAACGCUACAUAAUAUUUGAAUCAGAAUCUGAGUCAUCCGAUCAUGAUCCUCGAGAGUCACCGGAGAGGGACCUCCCUCCUUCAAAAAUGUCUGAAAGGGAAUCAAGCACGACACCUCAAAGGAAGCAAAGUCCACGAAGUCCAUCACCUCAAAGGGAGCAAACUCCUCCUAGCCCUCUGAAAAAAGGCGAACAUCAUCGAGAACACAUAAGUUAUCAUCUCAGAAGCAAUAUUCAGAAUCGGCAGAAAAGCCAGAGGCACCAUGUGAAGGGACGGGCAGGAAACAGGUGAGUGGAAGCAUAUCAACGCUCCUCGAAGGAAAAGGAAAAGGAAAGAAAGGAGGAAAGGACCUUAUAGUCCCCAAAGAUGCAAUGAACCAUUUCUUAAACUUAAUGAAAGUGCCACAAACUGGAAAUCCGCGACCUCCGCCUUUAGACUAUGAGAGAACUAUGAGUAUGGAGAAGUGGCAGGCAAGAUCCCGAGCUGUACACAAGUUAAAUGUAGUUGAACGGGCCGCAUUUUGUGAACAAAACAACAUGAUAGAGUUAGAUCUUCUUCGAAUUGAGUAUGGAGAAGAUUGGUGGAAACAACCAUUGCCAGUAGCACUGAUUACCUAGCAAUUUGCAUUGGGGAAAGAUUUGCAACCCCCAGAACAAAUCCGGAUGCUACCCACAAGAAUGCGAUAGUUGCAUACUUGGUACAAGAUGCAAAAUGGUAAGCUGUUUGGGGCAAGAUAUCUUGAUGAAGAUCUUCAUAAGGGGGAGACAUAGUGUGGGUUGAAUUCGAGCACUUGUAUCAUUUCUACCAUCAAGCUGCUCUCGACGUCUCAAUCAUGACCUUGUGGACUGUGUAAGUAACCUCACUAAUGAUCAUCCAUCGUCAUAUAUCACUCACUAGCAUGUUUAACUUUUCAUCAUUGUUUUCUAGAAUGGAGUCACACAAAUGUAGACAAAGUGGGAUUAACAAUAUAGGCUUCUUGGACCCUAGCACUGUACAUGAGAACUCAGUUCACUUACCAAGUACUGUUGACUACUUGUACAAUGCUUUCCUAUCUAUGCAGGAUAAAAGAUCCAUACUUCUUUCAUAAAAUUGCUAGUAAGUUUGUUUUUUAAUUCCAUAUCAAAGUUAUGCUCACCACGGUUAUUAUUAAUUUGCUUUUUUGUGUCUUAUAUACAGUUAUCAUCAUGUCCUACUCGAUAUCCGCCUUAGCGAUAGUCGAAUCGAGGUUUCUGACUCACGAAAGAGGCCAUUAUCACUAAUCCAUCCUGUCAUUGAUGCCCUCAACAAGGCUUUCGCUAAGUAUCGUAAGAAAAAAAUCCAUAGACCUUUUUGGGGAGACUUCACUGUAGAUGAGGCUAAAUACAUCCUCAAGCAGCCUUUUGGCAAUGAUCACUGCGGGUUCUAUGUAAUGCAUUACAUGCACUGCUGCACCGGUGAUGAAAGAGACGCCGCAAUGAACAAUGAGUUGAGUACAGGUGAAUUUCUCAUGCGCGAGCUAGUAGCACUUCAAGAGGAACUAGCCGGAUGGCUUGUGGACUACGUUGUGAAGCCAGGAUCUGAGUAUAGCAUAAUCUAUGUGUAAUGCAUAGAUCGUAUCGUUCUUGUCAAACAUUGUAGUAUAUUUGGUGUAUCGACUAGA